CAGGUUAAACCGCCGUCGCAGGACAGCGGGUGCAGUACGCUGACGUAAAAAAUUGCAUCGUUCUUCGCUCUGUUGCCUACUUGUUGCUGUACCCCGCGUAGCUUCUUCUGCUCUCUCCCUCCAUGGCGGUCUCGGUUGAAGAACAGCAGCAGGAGGAACCGCCAAUUGCGGAACAAGAACCCCCAUCGAGUGGCGAGGACGAAGAAGAAGACGACGGCGAAGACUUUGAAGAAGAGGACGAGAAGCAAGAAGACGACGACGACGACGAACCACUAAGCUGUGGAUCGAGAACCCUCUCGGAGAGAGUCAAAAUGGAGAGCCUAUUCCGCCAGAUAUCGACGGAGAGACUGCCCCUUCGAGUCCAUGACGUGCUGAUCAGGGGCAACACCAAGACUAAGGACUCUUUGAUCGAAGCUGAAGUUGAGGCCCUCAGGAAUGCCACUUCUAUCCAAGAGCUUAUUUGGGCCGCGAGCAUCGCCAAUUCUCGCCUUCGCUGCCUCGGAAUUUUCGACUCCGCCAGCAUUACGCUCGAUUCGGGUCCGCCGUGGUUGCCGGGGGCCGCCAAUGUCAUUGUUGAGGUUGUUGAGACUAAAAGCCCUCUCGUCGCCGAUUGUUCCCUUUUCUCAAAGCCUGAGGCUAGAUCUUGGUCGCUUGAUGGAUCACUCAAGCUAAAAAACUUGUUUGGAUUUGGGGACCUUUGGGAUGGCUAUUUCGCCUAUGGCUGGGACAAAAUUUCAGAGCUUAGUGCUGGUGUCUACUUGCCUCGAUUCAAAAGAAUGGCAACUCCUGUACUGGCUCGAGCAUCUAUACUCUCCAAAGAUUGGCUAAAGUUUUCUUCUUACAAAGAGCGGGCAGUGGGCCUAUCUGUCAGCCUAAUUUCAUCCAGGAACCAUGAUCUGUUAUGCAACCUCUCUUGGCAUACUCUUGAUCCAUCACAGCAGGCAUCUCAGUCAAUGAGGAGGCAGCUUGGACAUGGUUUAAUCUCCUCACUAAAGUAUGCAUUUAAGAUUGAUAAGAGAGAUUAUCCCAGGAGACCAACUCGUGGAUAUGCUUUUUUUGCCACUUCUCAAAUUGUUGGUCUUUUGCCUGAUUACCGGAGCUCACAUCUUUUUCAUCAGGAUUUUGAACUUCGUUAUGCCUUUCCCUUGGGUUUUCAUUGUGCUGCAUUGAACUUUGGUCUCUCCUGCCGGGUUAUUUUUCCAUUUGGAAGCAGUUUCUUCAACAGGCCCUCAUCCUUAUCUGAGACAUUCUUUUUAGGUGGCAAAUCUUCUACAGUUUGCACCUUGGGAGGCCCACUGAGCUUUUUGGGUUUUAAGUCAAGGGGAUUGGGCUCUACUGAACCAAGAAUGAAACCUAGAGGAAACUCAAAUGAUGAAUGUUCUAACACUGAUUCAGGAAGGGAUUUUCCUGGUGGAGACCUUACCGUUACUGCUUUUGCAGACCUUUCUUUUAAUCUUCCAUCGAGGGUGUUCCAGGAAGCUGGUAUCCGUGGACAUCUUUUUGCUUGUGCUGGAAACGUUAGUAAAUUAACAGACAAUGCAUAUCGAGAUUUUUCCUUCCAGAAAUUCACGGAGUCUUUCCGAAGCUCUGCAGGAUUUGGGAUCAUUGUGCCCACUAGACUAUUUUCUAUGGAGGUUAACUACUGUUACAUAGUGAAACAGCUUCAGCAUGACCAUGGGAAGACCGGUUUGCAGUUUAGCUUCUCUUCAAAGGCAUAAGAUUUGGAUUCAUUUUUAUGCUGUCUACGGCCAAUAAUAGUACCACAGGAGGAUCAUCUUCUCCGGUAUUUUUAAGUUUUACAGGCGCAUUUGAGAAUUUUGUUUCUUCUCAAUGAAUACCAAUUUAGAUGCCUCUCUGGUGUCUACAAAUUGUAGUGCAAAUAUCUUACUGUCCUUGGUGCAGAUUUGUUGAAGAUGCGGAAUUGUCCUGCUUCCCAACAGCUGGGGAUCAAUCUGGUUUCAUGCCUCGUUCGUUGGCAUCUAAGUUCUAACAAAUAACUGACACAUGAUUUCCCUUAAUCUUCAUCGACUUUAUUGUUUCAUUGGUCAUGGACAUAAUCACUUUCCCAAACUGUAUUUGGUUGAGUGACACGGGGUACAAACACGAUACUGAUAGGGACACGAGUUUAUUGGUUGUUGUGCUAGCCAGGUAAGUUCAUAACGAUUUCUUUUGAAUGGAAAUUUGAUCACAAAAAAAAGAGAGUAGGUUUGGUGGAGCUGUGGUAUUGCCUAUGCCAGCAAUAAUUCAAACGCUCCAUUAGACCAUCCUAUUAGUAGUAGGAGACGAUAUAAGAAUGUAGGCGAUGCUACCUCAUAAAAUUUGCCUUGUGUUGCAAGAGGUUUAUUUUUGAAUGUUGUCGUACCUAUGCUUUUUUGCAAAGAAGAGUUGCUUUUAAUGCUUGACAAGUUGACAUCGUAUAGACUUGUGAAUCG